AUCCUAGUGCACGGGCGUCUUCCUUCUCCGUGAAGCGAUAAGCUGAGAGAGGAAUUUUGCUAGUUGAAAACUAUUCACAGACUACUCCGAGCUGGCUUGUCCGGCGAGGGAAUUUUUGUACACUUUCCAU
rfam:Stachybotrys chartarum IBT 40288 unplaced genomic scaffold scaffold86, whole genome shotgun sequence.